AUGGAUUUCAGGAAUGAUGAUUAUGUUCAAGAACAGAUAGACUAUGGAGAAGACAUGGUGGAGAGUACACAAGUCAUACAAGAUAGAGUGUUGAAGGAAUAUGGCAACUAUUCAGAGGAAGUUCUGGAUUCCCAACCUGAAAAAGUCGCUAGUAAAGUGGGCAUUGUGACGGAUGCAAGACAGGUAAAUAGGCAAGUCCUAGGGGAAAAGCUCAAAGAUCUGAACAAAAGCAGAGAUGGGGUGGUAGAUGAGGAAAGAAGGAGGACUCAGAGAGAUAUUGGCGAUAUGCAUACAAUGGAUAAAGCUGUAGGAAGGGUGAAAGUCAGAAACCUGGAGACUGCCCCAGAGAAAAGAAGGGCAACAGAUGUUGCGGGCCGUCGCAGCACUGCUGGUUGA
rnacentral:rRNA from 1 species